CGUCCCUCUGUACUCCACUCUGGUAAGGCUGCACCUCAAGUGCUGCAUUCGGAUUCAGGCCGCUCCCUACAAGAGAGACAUUCAGGCCCUGGAGCUUGUCCAGAUGAGGGCAACAAAGCUGCUUAGCAAACCCAUGGAGAGUAUUUUAGAGGAUUUGUUCCCUUCUUUAACUUGGAAACAGGACAUUCCAUCUAAGGUUUGAAUUUCCGUUUCUGACAGAAAACAAACCCAAAUCACCUCUAUGCUGGAACUGUGAAGAAGAGGCAGGUGUCCCACAAAAAGCACAAGCUAUGCUUUCUAUACUGCAAAAGAUUUCCCCUCCACAAACAAACAGUACUGCAAUCUGAUUUCAAAACAUAAGCGAUCUGCCAAUACUAAAGCACUCCAGCAGUAACUCAACAUGCCAUAAUAAUCUUUUCUGGAAUAUAUUUUUAGAAAUGAUCUUUGCUCUCAGUUUUUUGCCUUGGGAAAAAAAAAAAAAAGAAGAAGAAGAAGAAGAAGGAAAAGGGAAAGGGAAAGAAAAAAAAGGAAAAAAAAGAAGAAAAAAAAGAAAAAAAGAAAGGAAAAAUAAAGAAGAAAAAAAAGAAAAGUUAGAAGUAACCACAACGUCAGUGAGAGUGAAAAGCUCUGAUUAAUUUUAGCCAUUGUCAGGCACAAACUGUAUUGAACAACAACCACAACUGCAGUUUUUAGACAUCUUGACUCACUCUUGAAAUUGUGUCCCAAAGGAACGGAACAGAGAAUAUGUUUGACUGCAGAGUGUACGAACAUGCGGUUGUGGGAAUGGAAUUCAAAGCUCAGCACAGACCCUAAAAUCAAUGUGGUUGCACCAAAGUAACUGAGAGCAGAAUGUACUAUAUCUUCAGAUUGAAAGUCCUGUCAUGGGUCAGGCCAAGAAGAAAUAUAUAGCAUGCACAAAAUGUAACAUGA
ensembl:lncRNA